UACGUAGGGGGCUAGCGUUGUCCGGAAUCAUUGGGCGUAAAGCGCGCGUAGGCGGUCCGGUAAGUCCGCUGUGAAAGUCGGGGGGCUCAACCCUCGGAUGCCGGUGGAUACUGUCGGGCUUGAGUGCGGAAGAGGCGAGUGGAAUUCCUGGUGUAGCGGUGAAAUGCGCAGAUAUCAGGAGGAACACCGGUGGCGAAGGCGGAUCUCUGGGCCGAUACUGACGCUGAGGAGCGAAAGCGUGGGGAGCGAACAGG
rnacentral:rRNA from 1 species